rnacentral:rRNA from 1 species
AUUGAACGCUGGCGGCAUGCUUUACACAUGCAAGUCGAACGGUAACAGGCCGCAAGGUGCUGACGAGUGGCGAACGGGUGAGUAAUGCAUCGGAACGUGCCCAGUCGUGGGGGAUAACGCAGCGAAAGCUGCGCUAAUACCGCAUACGAUCUAUGGAUGAAAGCGGGGGACCGUAAGGCCUCGCGCGAUUGGAGCGGCAGAUGUCAGAUUAGGUAGUUGGUGGGGUAAAGGCUCACCAAGCCAACGAGCUGUAGCUGGUCUGAGAGGACGACCAGCCACAGUGGGACUGGGACACGGCCCAGACUCCUACGGGAGGCAGGAGGUGGGAAUUUUGGACAAUGGGCGCAAGCCUGAUCCAGCAAUGCCGCGUGCAGGAAGAAGGCCUUCGGGUUGUAAACUGCUUUUGUACGGAACGAAACGGCUCUGGUUAAUACCUGGGGCUAAUGACGGUACCGUAAGAAUAAGCACCGGCUAACUACGUGCCAGCCGCCGCAGUAAUAC